UACCCGCAGCACAAGUGGGUGGUCAUUAUUAUUGGGCCUAAAGCGUCCGUAGCUGGCGUGUUAGAUGCCUGGGUAAAUCGAUGCGCUUAACGUAUCGAAUUCCGGGUAGACCGGCACGCUCGAGACCGGGAGAGGUGUAGGGUACUCGGGGGGUGAGGGGUAAAAAUCCUGUAAUCCUCCGGGGACGACCAGUGGCGAAGGCGCUACACGUAGAACGGCUCUGACAGUGAGGGACGAAGGCCCUGGGGCGCAAACCGG
rnacentral:rRNA from 1 species